AGUGUUGCUUUAUAAAUUGUUUGAUAACUUGUGUAUAUUGACAUAUUUGUCGAUGAUUCGCCACACAGCAAAGUACUUUUCGACGGUGGUGGAAGAUGCAGUUCAAAUCUACCAUGAUAUUGCCAAGAUUCCCUGUCUCUCUCUGGGGCGAUUUAGCAAAGCUCCUCCCAAGGCAGGCCUCAUUCGCUCAGUAUACUCUGAGUGGUCGCAGAGAGAUCUAGAACGCAAUGAGAAAGUCAAGUUUGCUCGCCAGCAGACCCUGGCAAAAACAGAGAGGGGACUAGAAGUUUUACUUGACUCUGAUCCCAUAGAUGUUUCUAAGGAAAUUUACAGUAAGGAAGCACCUUCUGGAAAGUUUAGAGGUGUUGUGAGAAGUGUCAAAGACAAAGAUGGAAAGGAUAAACAGUACAUUGAGAUCUGGAACAAGUAUCAAAAGUUGACAAACAUUGAUGUGGAUGCUCAGGAGAAGCAUGGAAAGAUUUAUGAAAAUGACGCCACAUUUGGUUGUUUUGAGUGGUCUGCCUCUGAGGGACACUUGCUGUAUGUGGCUGAGAAGAAGCAGCCCAAGACAGCUUCCUAUUUUGAUAAUAAACCAAAGAAAUUGAAGGAUGAACAGGCAGAGGAUUCCAAGGGGAAAGAUUCAGAAGAAGCUAUUAAGGGAGAUCAAUUUGUGUACAAAGAUGAAUGGGGAGAGCUUCUGGUUGGCAAACACCACCCAGUUCUGUGUGUCCUCAAUGUGGAUACAGGGGAUAUCAGUGUUUUAGAAAACAUACCAGACAAUGUCUCCCCAGGACAGGUAAGUUCUUCCUCAAUGUGGAUACAGGGGAUAUCAGUGUUUUAGAAAACAUACCAGACAAUGUCUCCCCAGGACAGGCUGUUUGGGCUCCUGAUGAUGCUGGCAUUGUAUUUGUUGGAGUUGAACACAAUCCAUACCGACUGGGGAUUAUGUACUGCCCUAUAAGAAAGAGUGCCAUAUAUUAUCUGGAUUUACAGACUGCAACUUGUG